UACGUAGGUGGCAAGCGUUGUCCGGAUUUACUGGGCGUAAAGCGUGCGCAGGCGGUUUGCUAAGAGAGAUGUGAAAUCCCCGGGCUUAACCUGGGAACUGCGUUUCUAACUGGCAGGCUUGAGUGUGGCAGAGGGGGGUGGAAUUCCACGUGUAGCAGUGAAAUGCGUAGAGAUGUGGAGGAACACCGAUGGCGAAGGCAGCCCCCUGGGCUAACACUGACGCUCAUGCACGAAAGCGUGGGGAGCAAACAGG
rnacentral:rRNA from 1 species